ACCCCAGACCUGCAUUCGAUACGGGCGAGCUAGAGUGUGGUAGGGGAGACUGGAAUUCCUGGUGUAGCGGUGGAAUGCGCAGAUAUCAGGAGGAACACCAAUGGCGAAGGCAGGUCUCUGGGCCAUUACUGACACUGAGGAGCGAAAGCGUGGGGAGCGAACAGGAUUAGAUACCCUGGUAGUCCACGCCGUAAACGGUGGGCACUAGUUGUGGGAACCUUCCACGGUUUCUGCGACGCAGCUAACGCAUUAAGUGCCCCGCCUGGGGAGUACGAUCGCAAGAUUAAAACUCAAAGGAAUUGACGGGGCCCCGCACAAGCAGCGGAGCAUGCGGCUUAAUUCGACGCAACGCGAAGAACCUUACCAAGGCUUGACAUAUACAGGAAUAUGGCAGAAAUGUCAUAGCCGCAAGGUCUGUAUACAGGUGGUGCAUGGUUGUCGUCAGCUCGUGUCGUGAGAUGUUGGGUUAAGUCCCGCAACGAGCGCAACCCUCGUUCUGUGUUGCCAGCAUUUAGUUGGGGACUCACAGGAGACUGCCGGGGUUAACUCGGAGGAAGGUGGGGAUGACGUCAAAUCAUCAUGCCCCUUAUGUCUUGGGCUGCACGCAUGCUACAAUGGCUGGUACAAACAGCUGCGAUACCGC
rnacentral:rRNA from 1 species